GACGAACGCUGGCGGCGUGCCUAAUACAUGCAAGUCGAGCGGACGGAUGGGAGCUUGCUCCCAGACCGUCAGCGGCGGACGGGUGAGUAACACGUGGGCAACCUGCCUGUAAGACUGGGAUAACUCCGGGAAACCGGGGCUAAUACCGGAUAACUCUUUCCCUCACAUGAGGGAAAGCUGAAAGAUGGCAUCUCGCUAUUACUUACAGAUGGGCCCGCGGCGCAUUAGCUAGUUGGUGAGGUAACGGCUCACCAAGGCGACGAUGCGUAGCCGACCUGAGAGGGUGAUCGGCCACACUGGGACUGAGACACGGCCCAGACUCCUACGGGAGGCAGCAGUAGGGAAUCUUCCGCAAUGGACGAAAGUCUGACGGAGUAACGCCGCGUGAGUGAUGAAGGUUUUCGGAUCGUAAAACUCUGUUGUCAGGGAAGAACAAGUACCGGAGUAACUGCCGGUACCUUGACGGUACCUGACCAGAAAGCCACGGCUAACUACGUG
rnacentral:rRNA from 1 species